GACGAACGCUGGCGGCGUGCCUAAUACAUGCAAGUAGAACGCACAGUUUAUACCGUAGCUUGCUACACCAUAGACUGUGAGUUGCGAACGGGUGAGUAACGCGUAGGUAACCUGCCUGGUAGCGGGGGAUAACUAUUGGAAACGAUAGCUAAUACCGCAUAAUAUUAAUUAUUGCAUGAUAAUUGAUUGAAAGAUGCAACUGCAUCACUACCAGAUGGACCUGCGUUGUAUUAGCUAGUAGGUGAGGUAACGGCUCACCUAGGCGACGAUACAUAGCCGACCUGAGAGGGUGAUCGGCCACACUGGGACUGAGACACGGCCCAGACUCCUACGGGAGGCAGCAGUAGGGAAUCUUCGGCAAUGGACGAAAGUCUGACCGGGCAACGCCGCGUGAGUGAAGAAGGUUUUCGGAUCGUAAAGCUCUGUUGUAAGAGAAGAACGGGUGUGAGAGUGGAAAGUUCACACUGUGACGGUAUCUACCAGAAA
rnacentral:rRNA from 1 species